UACGGAGGGUGCAAGCGUUAUCCGGAUUUACUGGUUUAAAGGGUGCGCAGGCGGAUAUGUAAGUCAGUGGUGAAAUCUCUAGGCUUAACCUGGAAAUUGCCGUUGAUACUAUAUAUCUUGAAUGCUGUGGAGGUAAGCGGAAUAUGUCAUGUAGCGGUGAAAUGCUUAGAUAUGACAUAGAACACCUAUUGCGGAGGCAGCUUACUACGCAGAUAUUGACGCUCAUGCACGAAAGCGUGGGGAUCAAACAGG
rnacentral:rRNA from 1 species